rnacentral:misc_RNA from 1 species
GUGAAAUUUUCCCCUCUUCACAUCCCAUUUUCGCACCCAAUUCAACACCUUCUUCGCAAAUUAUUCCAUUUCCAUUUCCAUUUUCUUUAUCUGCAUUGAUCAAGUUGUCGCCGUGUAUGGAUCUCUGCAAUUCCACUAACUUCUCAAUCAGCCUAUGUUCUAUCAUAGCUUCGAUCACUUCUUUCCUCCCAGAGAAAGCGAUUUCGCAAAUGCAAUCCAGAGCUGCAGCUUGAAUUGACAAAUCUUCGAAGCUAAGUAGGUUUAAAAUUCUUGGGAUUUCUCCGUCCGUUUCGAUUUCAUCAACUAGUGGAGUCUUGAUCAGUCUGAUAAGUGAACAGAAGACUUGCAUUGAACAAGCGGAAGCCAUUGAUAUUAAGGAUUGAACUAUUGGAC